rnacentral:rRNA from 1 species
UACAGGGGGUGCAAACGUUGCUCGGAAUUAUUGGGCGUAAAGCGCGUGUAGGCGGCAUUGCAAGUCGGGUGUGAAAGCCCUCAGCUCAACUGAGGAAGUGCGCCCGAAACUGCAGUGCUUGAAUACCGGAGAGGAUGGCGGAAUUCCCCAAGUAGAGGUGAAAUUCGUAGAUAUGGGGAGGAACACCGGUGGCGGAGGCGGCCAUCUGGACGGCUAUUGACGCUGAGACGCGAAAGCAUGGGUAGCAAACAGG